AAACCAGCACCUCAAGUGGUCAGGAUGAUUAUUGGGCCUAAAGCAUCCGUAGCCGGCUCUGUAAGUUUUCGGUUAAAUCUGUACGCUCAACGUACAGGCUGCCGGGAAUACUGCAGAGCUAGGGAGUGGGAGAGGUGGACGGUACUCGGGAGGAAGUGGUAAAAUGCUUUGAUCUCUCGAUGACCACCUGUGGCGAAGGCGGUCUACCAGAACACGUCCGACGGUGAGGGAUGAAAGCUGGGGGAGCAAACCGGAUUAGAAACCCCAGUAGUCC
rnacentral:rRNA from 1 species